ACGGCGCCUGCGCGAGGCCGGCCGUGGUGUGCGGUUGUGCCCCUGAGCCUGUAGGGGUUGGAGGGGGAGGGAGCUCUGCCCCGCAGCAGCGGUACCGUACCCGAGGCCGCUCCCGGGUCGUUGCUCGGGGCUCGGCACAGCCCGCAGGGUGCUUCCUGCAGUCGCUGCGCUGAGGCGGGACCGUGCCCGCGAUCCUGCGGCGGGAUGAAGAGGAUCUUCGGGUUCGGGAGGAAGAGGAAGGGGCAGCCGCCGCACGGCAGCGACUCCCCACCCCGCCCCGCCGGUGCCUACGAGCUCCGGCAGAAGGACCUGGGCAAGCUGCACCGCGCGGCCGCCAGCGGCGACCUGGCCCAGGUGCGGCAGGGGCUGAAGAAGCACAGCGUCGACGGGCGGGACAAGGCGGAGCGGACACCUCUGCAUCUUGCUUGUGCAAAUGGCCAUGUGGAGGUUGUCACAUACCUAGUAGAAAACAAGUGUAAGCUAAAUCUUUUUGACAGCGAUAACAGAUCGCCACUGAUGAAGGCAGUACAGUGCCAGCAAGAAAAGUGUGUGGCUAUUCUGCUAGGGCAUGGUGCGGACCCGAAUCUGGCAGAUGCGGAUGGCAAUACUGCCCUUCAUCUUGCUGUCAUAUCUCCUAAUACAUCUGUAGCAGGACUGUUACUUGAGCAUCAUGCCAAUAUUGAUGCCCAAAAUAAGGAGGGAUAUACCCCGCUUAUUCUUGCUGUCUCCGAACAUCAGGAAGAGAUAGUAGAAUUUCUUCUUAAAAAAGGAGCUGACGUGCACGCUCGAGAUCAGUGUGAAAGAACCCCACUUAUGACUGCUGCUUCUGGUGGGGAGCUUAAUUUGAUAAAAGUUCUUCUUCGGUAUGGUGCUGAUGUUUCCCAUAAAGACACUAAUGGAUGGACAGCUGAGGAUUAUGCUGUUAUCCAUGGAUAUUCUAGUCUUAGUAAACAACUGUCAGAAUAUGCAGACUGGGAAAAUACUGGAGAAGCUUCUGCAAGUGAUGCACGUAGCGCUCGGCACCGGGCAGGAGCUUGUGACUUUACAUUGGGUGCACCUGCUAUGGACAGAGGAGGAAUGCAACAAUCUCCUAACCAGACAUCAAGAAUGGGAAAAUCAAGGAAAGCAAUGGAUGGCUUUUCCCAAGGAGACUCAAUAAGAAGCUCUGAGGAGAGGAGUGAUGACAGUUGGCAUACUUCUGAGGAAGAAGAACUCGAUUUUACCCCCAAGAAGCUGCAGAAGCCAAACUUGACACUGUUAAUGAAUGCUUCCCAGCAGUACAGGAAAAACAAUGGUGGUAGUUCUAGAAUUGAAAGUCUUAAGUCACCAAAGAAAUGCCUCAAAGAAAGAACCCUAUCAGAUGCAAAUCCAAGCAAAGGAAAAUGUGGACAAUUAUUGAUUCAAGAUGUGUCAGAUGCAAAAAACCUGGAGGAGGAGGAGGAACUGGAGGAGGAAGAGGAAGAUGAUGAAAAAGAUAAUGGAGAUGAUGAUGAAGAUUAUGAGGAGGAAGAAGAAGAAGAGGAUGAAGAUCUUACUCAAGAUGAAAAGGAGGAGGAAGAUCUUGAAGAUGAAGAAACUCAGUCCAAUGGCAUAGUGGAGGAGGAGCAGGGUGAGAAAACAGAACCUAAAGGGGAAAUGAAUCAGAAACUGGAGUACGUUAGUAAUGCCAAGUAUGAAGGGAAAGCUCGAUGUGAAGCUGGAGAUGUCUGCGAUAAUGCUGUAAGUAAAAAACUUGAUGAAAAGGUGGAGGAAUCUGUUGAUACUCCUGUGUCUUUUAUAGAUGGAUGUUAUGAAAGGCUGCAAGAAAAUACAACUGCCAUGUCUCCAAAGAUAAUGAAUAAUGGAGUAUCUUGCAAGUCAGUACCAAAACAAGCUGUCUUUCAAAAUCUAAAUAAUUUGCAAAAUGCACAAGAAAGCUGGAACAAGACAAGCAUGAUCCAGAGGAAGUUUCACAGAAAUGCUGAGUCCUGUUUUGUAGACUCUGAAAUGACAAACUGUAAAAAAGAGAUACCUCAGCCUCCCUCAGGUAGCUGUGGUCUUAAGGAGAAAAAGUCGAGCUUUGGUGACGGCUUUGAAAAUAGUGAUAAUUCUUGGUUAGCAGCAAAAAACUCAAGGCUUGAAAGUCAAAGACUGAACUCUGUUGUUCUUGAAUGUGUGGAUGAUGAAGAUACUGAAGAAGAGCAACGUGAAGAAGUAGAUGAUAAAGUCUGUGAAGCAGUGAAACAGGAAAGUGAAAACUUGUGCUUAAAAAAGUGUGAAGAAAAUUUAAAAGCAGCAUUUCAUUCGAGCACCAAAGAGGAAUCGUCUGAGUGGGAUGACGAGGAGGAGGAGCAGGAGAAACAAGACAUUGGUGAAGAGCUACAAACUGCAGUUGUUGAGGGUGCUCUGACAGCAGUGGAAGCAGAGGAAGAUGCUGACUCUCCCUGGGAUUCUGAGAUUAUAGAGACAAAUUCUGGAAGUCUGAGAAAAGCAUCAUCUGGUGUGGUGUUCCCAGCUGCAGGCAGACAUGGAGCAUGCUCUCAGAUUGCUUCAGGGAAACACGACAAUGGCUUUUCAGCGAAACCCAGCAAUUCCCAGCUGAAGACUCCUGAAGCUGUUUCAGAAAUAAAUAAACCCCCUCGUAAAAAUAGGCAGCAGAAAUCAGGUAACAUUCGCUUUAUGUGGUGUUGGGUUUUGCUUCAUAAUCUUUCUGGACAGGAGCAUUUAAUAAAGCAUCUGAUUUGUUUUGCAGAUCUGUUGGAGGAAUUUGGUUUAGGAGAUGCAGAGAAUAUAGAAGAUGAGUACUCAGGAUCUACCUCUCACAUGUCAUCAUCAGCUGAAAAAGAAGACAUCAAGGAUACCACUGUAAACUAUGGGAUACAGGAUAAAUAUAUUUUAGAAACUACCAACUUGAUAGAAAAAGCACCACAUGAAAAUCAGACUGACAGAGCAGAAAUUUCACACCAUGAUGAGAAGUCACAUAGUGCUGACAAGCAAUUAAGUCAAAAACCUUGGGAAGAAAGAUAUGAAAAAAUGUGGGUUGAAAAUGAGAAAAGGGAAUUGAAAACAAAUUUUAAAAACAUUACAGCAGAGCUGAAGCAGCUCUUUGGUGAAAUUAAUGAAACUGGGAAAACUACUUCCCUUGUGGAAGAAGUGUCAGAAGAUGGCUUUAGUGAAGAAUUGAAGAGUUCUCCUGUUGUUUCAUCUCGUGCGACAGAAUCAAGUAGUAAGCUAGAAAGUAAAGGUGAUUUUGGAGAUAUUAAACUUAUGCUAGGUGGAAAAGCACCCAAAAUGGAAAUUGUAAUUCCAAGUCUUGAUAUCCUUCAUGAUCAAAAUAACCUAAAUGCAAAUGUGGAAGAUACCUGGAGUACAGAUGAAGAAGAUGGCAAAACCGAUACAGAGAAUACAAAGGUGCCUCUAGCAACAGGAGAGGAAAAGAAAAUGCCUACAAUGAAAAUGGAAGAGAAGGAAAAUGGAACUAAUAGGAAUGUAGAGGGAAAUCCUGAAUACUCCCUGAGACAUAGCUUAAAACCAAAUAUUUUGGAUGACGUUUCUAAUGCUUUUCCUAAAAUAAGACCUGUUUCUACAAGUGUUGGAAAUGCACUUUUUGCAACGGAAAGGAAACUUGGAAAAGUCUCUAAUGAAGAUGUUUCCAGUGACUGCCUUAUUGACAGUAAUAAAAUAGGAGAAACAGAAAUUGAAAGUCCUUUUGCAAAUGCUCAGCAAUCAUGUGGCAUGCUGGAAAGGAAUCUUGAUGAACAACUAAAACAAGAUAUGGAAAGAUUUAAGAGUAAGGUGGGAAUGCUGCAAGUAGUAUUCCUGGCUUUGGAGAAAGAGAAGGCAGAGCUGCAAAAAGAGGUUGAGAAGGAAAAAAGCAAAGAAAGAUGUUUAAAAAUGCAGGCGAUGGCAAAACAAGAUGACCUUGAUAAAUUAAAUACACCACCAAGCAACAUUACUGAUCAGCAGAGGGAACAGAAGCUUACUCUAAAGAAGAAUGAGUGUUUGAAAAUGGAGAAUGAAAGCACUAUAGAAGAAAAAGACAAAAAGAAUUUUUCAUCUGAGGAGAGGUCAAAACUGAUUAAAAUGCCAAUGAAAGGUAAAUUUGCUCUGAAUGCAGUAGUUGCAAAGAAAAACAAAAGAAAAAACUUGAAGGCGGCGGCUAAUCGGCAGUUGAGCUCUUCCAGUGGGAGUCAUUUUCAAAUACUGGAUGAUAGCACUUCCAGUGAGACAUCUCAAGAUGAAGGAAGACCUGCAGCCAAAACAAGGAUUGAAAAGAACAAGGUCAGCAUACAAAUGGAUGUAACUGAUGACCUUGAUUUAACUCACUCAUCCGACACAACUUCAGAGGAUGUUGAAUUGCCAACUUCAGCCUACAAAGAGGCCAUGUUGCUGUUAGAACAGCUCAGUGUGGAUCCUACAGGUUCUUCUAUUUUAUUGAAAAUUCAAAACAUACUGCUUCAGUACGAGCAGAUAAUAAAACAGGAAAAAAAUCGGUAUAGAGCUGUAUGGAGAGAAGUAAGGAAAUUGGAAAGUGAAAAGGAGGAGUCAAAAUUAAUAGCGGAGGAGACUCAAGAUUUGAAAUCCAUAUUAGCUCACCAAGAAGUGGAAUGGAAAAGUGACAUCCAAAGCCUUAAAUGUACUUUGAAACAAGAAGAGGAAAAGAUGCUCAGAAUAGAGAUGUUAUAUGAGAAAACAAGAGAAGAACUCAGAAGGAAAGAAGAUCAAUAUUGUAAAGAGAUGGAGGAAAAACAACAACUUGAGUUGCACUCGAAGAAUUUAGAAAUGGAGUUAAUAACACUGAGAAAGCUCUUGAGACAGGUUGAAGAAGAGCGUGAUGAAACACAGAGACAACUCUCUCAGGAAAAGAGUGCCAGAGCCCUGCAAGAAGGAAUUUUGAACAACCACCUUUGGAGGCAAAAGGAACUAGAAGAAGAAACAAGAAGAACUAUAGAAAAAAAUUCAGAGGAAUCCGACACUGAGAGAGAAAAGGAUCUGUUGUACAAAAAUCAGUUGCUACAAGAUGAGAUUGGUAUGCUAAGACUAGAACUUGAUCAAGUAAGACUUAGGCACCAGGAGGAAGAAGGAAAGUAUUUAGAGGAAAAUGAAGCCUUGAAAGAAAAAAAUGAAGAUCUCAAAAAGGAACUUAAACUAAAUGAAGAAGCUUUAACACAAACAGUUUUUCAGUACAAUGGACAGCUGAACUUAUUAAAGACAGAAUCUGCAGUGCUAACUUCCAAACUUGAGCAGACAAAAGAAAGCAAAGACAGACUAGAGACAGAAGUUGAAUCAUUCCGUUCCCGCCUGAACACUGCUGCUCAAGAACUUGAGCGUCAUCAGUCAUCAAAAUGUGAUGUUGAACGAACAUUUCAGAGAGAACGUGAUGAAUGGCUUCGCUUGCAAGACAAGCUCCAUCAUGACCUCUCUGAUGUGCGAGAAACCAAUAAGAGCUUGUCUCAGCAGCUGAGUAAAGCUGAAAGCAACGCUAAUAGUCUAGAAAAUGAGCUUCACCAGUUGAAACAAACACUCAGAGAAAAAACACUGCUUUUGGAAAUGACACAAAAAGAAUUAAGUCAAGCCCAGUGUCAGGCAAAGGAAUGCGACCAUGCUCGACAACUUGAAAAAGAUCAAGUAAGCAAAUUUAUAAUAAAGCAGGAAUCCAUGCAGGAGCGAUUGGUCCAGCUUCAGAGUGAAAAUCUUUUACUCCGUCAGCAACUGGAAGAUAUGCAGAACAAGGGGAUCAUCAAAGAAAAAAUAGUGAAUGAUGUGCAGGACCGGUUCAGUGAUAUUUUCAGUAAACUCAGAGCUGAUACUGAAAAGCAAGUUUACCUAGUGGAAGAGAGAAACAAGGAAUUAACUGCCAAGUGUACUGAUUUAAGAGAACAAGUCUUUAAAUACGAGACUGAGAAAGCAGAAAGAGAGGGAGUGGUCAGACAGCUGCAGCAGGAGCUUGCUGAUGCUCUUAAAAAGCAAUCUAUGUCAGAAGCUUCACUUGAAGUUACUACACGCUACCGCUGUGAUCUGGAGGAGGACAAGCUGCGCUUGCAGAAGGAAUUGGAAAAGGUUAACACCAAGAUCCGGGAGUUAGAAGAACAGCAACUUCAGUCUGAGCGUUGUGUCCAUGACUUGAGGGCUGUCUUGGAUAAUAAGGAAAGAGAAGUAGUAGCUUCAUCCCAGAAGCUGCAGGACUUCCUAUUGGCAUCUUCUGGGACUAACGCUACUAUCAAACAACUGGAAGAACACGUGCAACGCCUUGAAAUUGAAAACGCCAGACUGGAAGCCACGGUCCAGCAACAAAGCAGUAGGACUGAAGCCCUUCAGAGGGACCUGCAAGCCUCUGCCUCAGUUCAUAACCUUCUGGAAGACUUGUUAACUAGCUUACGGACAACACAGGCAGCUGCAGAGGACCACCGCCAGCAGAUGCAAAAGCAGAAUGUGCUGGGUCUGACAUCAAAUGACUUACACAGCAUGUGGGAAGAGCAAUUGAAGUCAAGAUCCCACCUUGAAGAGCGUGUUGCUCAGCUUGACAGGGAAAAGGCUGAACUCCUGGAGCAGCUUUUCUAUUUUGAAAGUGUGAGAAUGAAAGAAAGAAAGUGAAGAAGCUGGUAGAGUUGAAACGCCCAGUUGAAUUACGUCUGGAGCAAGAAAUGAAAAGAAACCUUGAACUGCAGAAAGACUGUAAGAGGUUGAAGAAGCUUCUGAGCAGAGCUAUGAAGAAAGUAAGGGUAUAUGAGGAGAGAGAGAUGGAGUCCCAGCUUAAUUUGCAGGGAGGAGUGAAGAACAGGUAUUCUGAAAUGGUCAAUGAACUUGGUAGAUUAAGAACAAAGGUUGGUGACCUUUCCCAGCAGCUGGAGAAAGAGUCUAAAAAAUGCAUGCAGCUAGAAGCACAAAAUCACGAUUUGCGAGAAGAGUUGUCCACCAUGCACGAGAACUAUGAAAAACUGGAGAAGAGCAAAUGCCAGCUGAAAGAAGAGGUAGCUAACCUCAAACAUAAUUUGGAGAAUAACAUGGUGGAUCGCAGCCAGCUAGAGCAGUACAAAAGAGAGAUAGAGGAACGAGCUGCACAUGAAAUAAGACAAAAACUACAAGAAGUCAAUCUGUUUUUGCAGGCACAGGCAGCUUCCCAGGACAGAUUAGAACAAAUCAGAGCCAGUCAUCAUGCUUCUCUGAGAAACCAGCUAAAGCAUAGAAUAAGAGAUCUUGAAUGUGAAUUGGACAGGAUAAAAAAUACCCAACAAGACAGUAUUUUUCAACAAGAAUCCACGCAUGCGGAAGUGGAAAGGUACAAAGAGCUGUAUCUGGAGGAAGUAAAAAUUAGGAGACGCCUAGGAAAUAAACUGGAAAGAGCUAAUGAGAGACUAGCAGAAGCCAACACUAAGCUCCUUCAGGAGCGCCGUAGAAACAAAUCUUUAUUCACAAGCAGCAUUGUCAGUGGAGGUCUCGCUGAAAGUCCAGUUCAGUAUUCAACUGAACUGGGACAUCUUGGCAACAAUUUGACACUGAACAGAAGUCUAAGUCUAGGAGGAAGCUUCCUAAGUCCAACCUGGAACGCAUUGUCAUCAAGAAACAGGGUUGAAGCCUAUGUGGCUAAGGUACGGCAGGAACUGGAUGAAAAAAUCACUAAAGAACUUGAACAGGCCACUGCUGAACUUGAAACUGGAUCUGUUGGAGCUUCUCCCAUGAUAUCUACUGAUGGAUCUUCAAAAAAUGUCCAUGUUGUUGACCAGGAUCCCCUUUGCAGGGCAAUACAGGAGUACCGUGAUGUUUUAACCAAAAAUUACCUAAUUUGAACAAAAUGCUAGGGAAAAGCUGUGGAAAUAAUUUUGUUUACAUAGUGCAUCUAUGGUUUCCCAUCCCAUGGUACAGAUGUGAAAACAUGUUUAUUGCAGUGUGAAUAUUCUUCUAUUAAAUGGAUGUCAAGCACAUUGCACUUACCUGUUGGUUUAUUGCUGCAUAGUUGUUUUGUUUUGCACCCACAGUAACAACCAUAUCUAUUUUUUCUAACAGAUUGACUAAUCUUGAUUCUCAAGUUUGACAGAACUGUCAAAAUGUUUCUUAUUUACGUAGAUGUAUUAUUUUACUCCACUUGUGUUCUGUGUUUUAACAAAAGAAUUCCCUUUGUCCUGUUUAAUCCUUUUACUCUAUGUGUUUUUAAUGUUUCCAGUGUUAUUUUAAUGCUUAGGAUAUUAUUUGAUGUGCUUUGAGCACACCACUUCAGUCCUAAUGCAAGGAAUAUUUCUGCUGAUAAAGUUUUACCAGUGUUAAAGCUGGAGAAUAGGGCACUUUACUGUCACUUGAUGCGCCUUAGGUUUAAAAUUACUGUGAGUGUAUAGUAGUGCCAAGGAAGUUAUGAUGUGAUCUGUUUGGUCUGUUUGUUUUGUAUCGCAGAACCACAGAAUGGCUGAGGUUGGAAGGGACCUCUGAAGGUCAUCUGGUCCAGCCCCCCUGCCCAAUGGGGACCACCUAGUACUGGUUGUCUAGGACUAUUUUGGCUUUUGAAUAUGUCCAAGGUAGGAGACUCUACAGCCCCCGUGGGCAACCUGUGCCAGUGUUCAUCCUCCACCACAGUAAAGAAGUGUUCCCUGAUUUUCAGACAGAACCUUGGUGUUUCAUUCUGUGCACAUUGCCUCUUGUGUUAUUGAUGUUGAUUUUUGUAUGAAAAAUUGCUGCAGCUUUAAACAUUCACAGGUCAUACAUCAACACCUGUGGUGCACCUGAAGCAGUUCAUGUGGGGUAAAAAGGGAAUUGACUUUCAGUCUCCUUAGUACUUUCCAGAACUUGUGUGUUGCAAUGGCCAAUCUUUUUGUCACUGCUAGCAGCUGAUGAUAUGGUGGCUGUAGCCCAAAUAUUAGCCAGUGUUGUGAGACUGCUGGAUGGGAAGGGAUGCCAUCCAGAGAGACCUUGACAGGCUUGAGAGGUAAGCUAGUGCAAACCUCAUGAAGUUCAACAAUGCAAACUGCAAGGUCCUGCACGUGGGUUGAGGCAAUCCCAGGCACGGCUACAGGUUGGGUAGAGAAGAGAUUCAGAGCAGCCCUGCGGAGAAGGACUUGGGGGUGUUGGUAGAUGAGAAACUGAACAUGAGCCGGCAGUGUGCGCUCACAGCCCAAAAAGCCAACCAUAUCCUGGGCUGCAUCAAAAGAAGCGUGACCAGCAGGUCAAAGGAGGUGAUCCUGCCCCUCUGCUCUGCUCUCGUGAGACCCCACCUGGAGUACUGUGUGCAGUUCUGGUGUCCUCAACAUAAAAAGAACAUGGAGCUGUUGGUCUCAGAGGACCAGAGGAGGAGCACAAAGAUGCUCAGAGGGCUCGAGCACCUCCUGUAUGGAGGUAGGCUGAGAGAGUGGGGCUUGUUCAGCCUGAAGAAGAGAAGGCUCAGGGAAGACAUUACAGCAGUCUUCCAACACCUAAAGAGGGCCUACAAGAAAUCUGGAGAGGGAUUUUUUUCAAGGGCAAGUAAUGACAGGACAAGGGUGAAUGGCUUUAAACUAAAAGAGGGUAGAUUUAGACCAGAUACUAGGAAAAAAUUCUGUACUAUGAGGGUGAUGAGUCAUUGGCACAGGUUGCCUAAAGAAGUUGUGUCUGCCCCAUCCUGAAAGUGUUCAAGGCCAGGUUGGACAGGGCUUUAAGCAACCUGGUCUAGUAGAAGAUGUCCCUGCCCAUGGCAUGGAACUAGGUGGUCUUUAAGGUCCAUUGCAACUCAAACCAUUCUAUGAUUUUAUGACGUUUCUGUCAAUAAAACAAGCAGGUUUACUUAUUUCAGGGAGAUUUCUGUUGUUGCUGAAGAUUUACAGUUGUCAUUUCCUGUCUGCAAAAGUCACUACUGAUUUGGUGAUUAUAGUACAAGGUCCCAGUUCUGGAAAAGUAAGAAUGGUUGUACUUAGAUGAAUUAUGACUGGAAAAAUUUUGGGGUUUUAUCCAGUAAUUCAGAGUUAACAGGCAGUGAGGAAGGCAAUGAAUGCUACUGUGACACUGUUCCUUUUAAAAAAAUACAUUUUUGUGAAGCUGAUAUCCUGUAUUUAAUUCCAGAUACUCCGUUUCAACUUGAUAAUUAAACUUUGUAAUCUAGUACA